UACGUAGGGUGCAAGCGUUGUCCGGAAUUAUUGGGCGUAAAGAGCUCGUAGGCGGUUUGUCGCGUCGGCUGUGAAAGCCCGGAGCUCAACUCCGGGUCUGCAGUCGAUACGGGCAGACUUGAGUGUUGCAGGGGAGACUGGAAUUCCUGGUGUAGCGGUGAAAUGCGCAGAUAUCAGGAAGAACACCAAUGGCGAAGGCAGCUCUCUGGGACGGUACUGACACUGAGACGCGAAAGCGUGGGGAGCAAACAGG
rnacentral:rRNA from 1 species